UCAAACUUGGUCAUUUAGAGGAAGUAAAAGUUAUAUGAAGGUUUCCGUCGGUGAACCUAUGGAAGGAUCAUUAUUGAACAAAAAAUUAAAGCAGACUGCUGCUGGUUCCUAGGAGCAAAUGCACAUCUGUUUUAUUUUUUAAAUAAUCCCUUGUGCACUAUUGGUUGAUCUCUGAAAAAGAAAAACACAGAAUGUAUUUGAUACAAUUUCAGUCUGAGAAGCUUGUUGUAUUUAAAACCCAACUUUUUCUUGUGAAUUUUUUUUCAGAAGCUCUACUAUCUACAUUUUUAUUAGACCAUCAGAAGAAUGAUCAGAAAAUAUAUAUCUAUUAUGCAUAACUUUCAACAAUGGAUCUCUUGGCUCUUGCAUCGAUGAAGAACGCAGC
rnacentral:misc_RNA from 1 species